UCUCUUUCCCAGGCUGUCCUCACUCUCAACAUCCCCUCCAGCCAACUGCUGUUCUGAUUUUCCCUCCAGAAACUGACUUCACCAAUUCUAGAACUUCAUACAAAUGGAUCACACGGUAAUUUCAAGGUCCAGAGCUGAAGACAUGAGCCUUUGGGAGUAACCCUACUCUUCCUCUGAUAUUGUUCCCUGCAUUUCCUGGAUCUCCAGCCUUCUCUGAUAUUAGCCAUGAAUAUCAUAUGUAUUGGGGAAUCAGAAGUAUCAGCCGGUUUGGAGUAUUGGGAGGACACUGGAAGAGCGGAAUUUAAGGUUCAUCUGUUUGAAUUGGAACUUGAGCUCGUCUCAAGAAGUCUGCUUACCACUAUAGGGAAAAGCAAACAAUGAUUGUAUGUAUUUUUCCUUGGUGGAUAGUACAUGGUUAGCAUUUUUUCAAACUAAUAAAGAUAAUCAUUACCAUUUAUAGAGUGCUUACCUAAAACAGUCAUUAAGUCCAAAAUUUUUAAUUCUCAUAAUAGCCUUAGGAAGUAGGAAUCACUUUACAAAUGACAUAACCAUAGCUCAGAAGUGGUUAACUAUUUAAAUUCACACAAAUGUUAAGUAAUGGAGCCAAAGUUUGAUUUCUAAUCUCUUUUGAACCCCAAUACUGAACUUUAAUGUUGACCCUUUUAAGGAGUCCAUAUAACUAACACACUGAUAUGCCACGCAGUGCAAAAUGUGUCUAAGUCUUUGGGCAGUUUAAUGGCAAAUGAAUUAAUAAAAAAUAAUUAAAUGUCUGAAGCAUAUUAAACACAAAAUAACUAGGCCAUGGUUGGAUCUCCACAUGAAUUCUUCCCGCUGCAGCCCUUUCUGCUGUGACAGAAAUAAAGUGAAGUCUCUCGGUAAUUCGAAGCAUAUACAGCAAUUAAUUCCACAUUUAUAUGGUCUUCUAUUUAGAACUGUGUUUUAAUUUUUAAAGCACACUUUUAAUAUCUGUGCUGUAACUGAUAAUUAUUUGGGGAAAGGGGCAGGAGCAAGAAGAUUUUAGUGGCAGCACAACAAUUUUUAAUGCAACAGCUGCAAUGCUGAAAUCAACCAUGUGCCAAGAGCUCUGAAGCCUGUCAGAGGAAAGAUAGUCUAUAGUUAGACCCUCCCACUUCAAGGUCACUGCUUUGAGGCUAGCCAAAGUUGAUUGUGGCUUAAGGUCACUUUCAUCAAUGGCUCCUUGGUGGCCUCAGUAAAUGAGAGAGUGGACGUAUCCAUUUUCCUCCUGGGCAACCACCCAGGACUAAUUAUGAAGACUGUCACUGCAAAUGGGAGGACCAACCCUGACAUAGACACUCAUCAUUGUGUCCCCUCAAGGUCUAGGUCAUGCUGAUGCUGAUUCUGAUUAUUAUUGUUAUUAUUAUUAGGUAUUCUCUGAGAAGCCUCUGGCAGAACACGAAUUUGGAAAAAACAAGCACAUUAGUUUCAGUUUCUGUUGGUCAAGAUGAAAACAGCGGACAAUGAUGAAAUUUAUUAUUGGUGUUCCACCCAUCUCCUACCCACACUUCAAGGUCCACUUCAGGCCCCAGCCCCCAACAAAGCUGUUCAGGACCAGUAAGUCCAUGAUGUCCCAUGAAUUCCAAUUGCUUCUGCUAUCUAUGGGUCCUAUUAUGGCUCAUAAUCACUUAUGACUUCAAAUUGUUUUGUACUCUGGUUGUGGAUGCUCAAGUGAGAAAUAGCAGGCAGGACAUUAAAAUCUUCCAUUGGUUCAUUGACUCAUGAAACUUGGCUUGAUAUAAGCCCUCAGAUGUCCUUAUUGGAACAACCAUGGCUUGUUUAAGAUUUCAAGGAGUCUUUCUCUGAGGCCCUCCUUAACAUAUAAAGUCUAAAAUUGCCUACAGCAGCCAUAUUCCACCUGUAUUCUUACCUUAGAAUAAAUAAGGCACAUUUAUGCUGUGUAAGAGGUGAGUACUCACUCUCUCAGGCUACUUCCUUAAUAAUAACAUUCUACUUAUGCCUUUGCAUUCUUACAUUCAUUGAAGAAAGAGGUAGAACAUUAAUCAAUUAGCUAAUUACAUUAUUAUUUAAAUCUUUAGUUCCCCUGGACAUGUUUCCAUUAUAUCUGUGUUUUAAUAAUUUAUUCCAAAUAUAUAUUUGCUUUUUGUUAGGACUUUGGUUCUUCUCGUAUUUCAGCCUCUCUCUCUUAGACAUGAAUCCUUGGGCACAUGGAGGGUAGUGAAGGUCUGUUUUACAUGAAUCACAAAACCUCUCCUGCUAAGCCACUCUUCCCACAGGUGACUCUACAAUCUGAGACAAUGUGUACUUGUUGGAAGGACCUUCACAGCAUAUAGUCUAUGAAUCCAUGGGUAAGAGACUUCAUCACAGCCAUGGAAGAAUUAAUGAUGCUUAAUAACUCUUUGUGGACUCAACUGAAUAAAUGACUGACCUUAUAGCAGUUCUGCCAUCAUCUCCAUUCUUUUCCACUUUGGCUCACAAGACCCUACAGGAAUCUGAGGCCACUGACAACACCAACCUCACAUGUUCUCUGUGGGAUCUCAAGACUGCAGAUUUAACCACCUGGUCCUGAACUCAACAACAACCUGCCUACCAAUUACUUUAGUGAUUCAAACAGAAGCUCUUAGCUGCUUGUAUAUUAUGUAUGAUUUUUCUACCACUGCAUCUAGCUGUAACAAAUCCUACAUUUUUAUUCUUUCUAAAUCAAAUUGAUUCUGACUUCGUGCCUACACUAGUCAUGGAACUUCUUUCUCCCAAAGAAAUUCAAACUCUAAUAUUUUUGGAAACAGGUGGCUUAUGUGAGUAUCCAGAAACUGAGGAAAUGUUCUCUAAUCUUCAGUCAACCAUGAUGGUCUCUGAUAUGUAUGUUGUUCAAGUACACAUGAUCUAUUCACAAUAUGUAGACCUGUUACUACUCAAGCUUGGGCAUAGGGGUCUUACUGUAGUCUGGAUUCUUAACACCUGGCAUCAACCUCAAUAGACAUACUAGGAAGGUCCAGGGUGCUAUGAGGAAAUUGUUUCCUGGUAAAACCCUGCUUCGUUGUCAGUCUAUAUGACUUCUCCUUCUUUAGGACCAGCCCUUCUGUCUAACUCACUAGGUAUUUCUCUCUCUUUCUUUAUUUUGGGGCAAAUUCUGCCUGGUAGUGUGACCAUAUGUCAUUCAAAACAGAACACUUCUAAGUCUAAAAGCAAGUAUUAGUUACAACUACAUUAGGAAAGCAGGUGGUAUAAACCAGGAUAUAUGAUUUUCCUAUGUGUAGAUGUGAU
rnacentral:lncRNA from 1 species